UGCCAGGCCGCGAGAGACGGCCGGCCAGUAUCGUGGAGGCGCGCGGCCCGUUGCGAUCGUACAACCCUUAAAAUCCCGCUCGCCCUCGUCGUCUGUGUGCGUACAUGACGUACUUACACGCGCGCGCACACACAAACACAUAUACACAAACAACGUGUGCAAGGAAUAUUUUCAAGGAUACGGGGGAUCUUCUCUUGAUAGUUUGAUUCUCGAUACAUAUAGAUACAUAUGUGUGUGCAUGCCGACGUAAACUUUCAUCGAAGAAUUUACAAUCGGGAGAAGGUAGCUUUUGAGCAGCGCAAACAUGCGAGAAAUACAAUGGAGGGCUGCAGCGUUACAAUGGCCGUGUAACUAUGCGCGUUAGAGACUACAGUUUCUAAAGAGAAGAGCUCCAUCACGAAGGACGAGCAACCGUGCGAGCAUAUACGCGCAAGCCGCAACUCCGUUGGGAGAUGUGUUUUUGUGAGAUGCACACUAUACCAUGAUGAUCGAAGCUUUACGCCAUCGGCGGCAAAAUCGCUUCGCUACUCAUAUUGCAAAGCUGCCAUUUCCCAGUGGAUGCCAUGCGAUGGUGUAGCUGAAACCGCAAUGAUCGUGCAGCGGCCCGCUGGAGGAAUUCGCGGACAUAAGGGCAUGCCAUUAGGGACAACGAAUAUGGAAUCCCGGUGAGACGAAAAGAACCAG